UACGUAGGGGGCAAGCGUUGUCCGGAUUUAUUGGGCGUAAAGAGCGUGUAGGCGGUCAGAUAGGUCCGUUGUGAAAACUCGAGGCUCAACCUCGAGACGCCGAUGGAAACCAUCUGGCUAGAGUCCGGAAGAGGAGAAUGGAAUUCCCGGUGUAGCGGUGAAAUGCGCAGAUAUCGGGAAGAACACCGGUGGCGAAGGCGGCGACCUGGUCCGAUACUGACGCUGAGGCGCGAAAGCGUGGGGAGCAAACAGG
rnacentral:rRNA from 1 species